UGCGGGGGGGGUAAGCGUUGUUCGGAAUUACUGGGCGUAAAGGGCGCGUAGGCGGCCUGCUAAGUCGGACGUGAAAUCCCUCGGCUCAACCGAGGAACUGCGUCCGAUACUGGUGGGCUUGAAUCCGGGAGAGGGAUGUGGAAUUCCAGGUGUAGCGGUGAAAUGCGUAGAUAUCUGGAGGAACACCGGUGGCGAAGGCGGCAUCCUGGACCGGUAUUGACGCUGAGGCGCGAAAGCUAGGGGAGCAAACGGG
rnacentral:rRNA from 1 species